CGCUGAACUUAAGCAUAUUAAUAAGCGGAGGAAAAGAAACUAACAAGGAUUCCCCUAGUAACGGCGAGUGAAGCGGGAUGAGCUCAAGCUUAAAAUCUCUGUGCAAGUUUUGCAUGGCGAAUUGUAGUCUAUAGAGGCGAUGUCAGUGCAGCUAUUUGGGGUAAGUUCCUUGGAAAAGGACAGCAUCGAGGGUGAUACUCCCGUUUGUACCCGAGUAGCUUGUGCGUACGACACGUUUUCUUUGAGUCGCGUUGUUUGGGAAUGCAGCGCAAAGUAGGUGGUAAAUUCCAUCUAAAGCUAAAUAUUGGUGCGAGACCGAUAGCGAACAAGUACCGUGAGGGAAAGAUGAAAAGAACUUUGAAAAGAGAGUUAAAGAGUACCUGAAACUGCUGAAAGGGAAUCGAAUCGUUUCCAGUGUCUAUAAUCCAUGGCAUAUUUCAUUGGCGACUUGUUGCGUACAGUGCGUAGGAAGUAGUUUAUUCUGCUCCUUGUAUUGUUUUGCGAUGUGUUGCUGGUGCCCUGUGUCGUGGUGGGACGUCAGAGUCAGUUCGUAUGCUGCGGGAAAUGGCUGUUGAGGAGGUAGGUUGAGCGCUUGCGUUUAGCUGUUAUAUCUUGGCGUGCUAGUUGUCGUGGUUGGGACUGAGGUGCCUACAACGUGCUUUAAAGUCUUGUGGGGUCUCAUGUGAUAACGUGCUAGGAUAGCUUGCUAUGUUGGUGUGUUUAUUGUGUGAUUGAUGCUGCUUGUAACUUUUGCCGUUCGGGACUUUGACGAAAUGGAGCGAUUCGGCCCGUCUUGAAACACGGACCAAGGAGUCUAACAUGUGUGCAAGUGUUAGGGUGUGGAAACCCCAGCGCGAAAUGAAAGUAAAGGGUAGCGUUUCGCUGCCUGAGGUAGGAAACCUUUGUUCUCAGAGGUGGCACUAUCGACCGAUCAUGAACCUUCGUGGUGAAAGAUUUGAGUAUGAGCACAUAUGUUGGUACCCGAAAGAUGGUGAACUAUGCCUGAGUAGGGUGAAGCCAGGGGAAACUCUGGUGGAAGCUCGUAGCGAUUCUGACGUGCAAAUCGAUCGUCAAACUUGGGUAUAGGGGCGAAAGACUAAUCGAACCAUCUAGUAGCUGGUUCCCUCCGAAAUUUCCCUCAGGAUAGCAGCAACUUAUUUACGAUAGUUUUAUGAGGUAAAGCGAAUGAUUAGAGGACUCGGGGAAGAAACUUCCUUGACCUAUUCUCAAACUUUAAAUCUGUAAGACCUGCAGGUUUCUUAAUUGAACUUGUGGAUGUGAAUAUCAAGUUGCUAGUGGGCCAUACGGGGUAAGCUCGUCUGGCG
rnacentral:rRNA from 2 species